rnacentral:rRNA from 1 species
AACUAACGCUGGCGGCGUGCCUAACACAUGCAAGUCGUACGAGAAAGUCGGCUUCGGCUGAUGAGUAAAGUGGCGCACGGGUGAGUAACGCGUGGAUAAUCUGCCCUUUAGUUGGGAAUAACGUACCGAAAGGUGCGCUAAUACCGAAUAAUGCUGAGUGACAUCAGUUAUUUAGCCAAAGAAGGCCUCUGCUUGCAAGCUUUCGCUGAAGGAUGAGUCCGCGUACCAUUAGCUAGUUGGUAGGGUAAUGGCCUACCAAGGCGACGAUGGUUAGCUGGUCUGAGAGGAUGAUCAGCCACACUGGAACUGAGACACGGUCCAGACUCCUACGGGAGGCAGCAGUGAGGAAUAUUGCGCAAUGGGGGCAACCCUGACGCAGCAACGCCGCGUGAGUGAGGAAGGUUUUCGGACUGUAAAGCUCUGUCGAGCGGGAAGAAAUGCCUGAUGGCUAAUAUCCAUCAUGCUUGAC